GGGUUGUGAGGUUAAGCGAACAAGCGUACACGGUGGAUGCCCUGGCAGUCAGAGGCGAUGAAGGACGUGCUAAUCUGCGAAAAGCGCCGGUAAGGUGAUAUGAACCGUUAUAACCGGCGAUGUCCGAAUGGGGAAACCCGGUGCACUUCGGUGCAUCAUCGUUAGCUGAAUACAUAGGCUAACGAAGCGAACCGGGGGAACUGAAACAUCUAAGUACCCCGAGGAAAAGAAAUCAACCGAGAUUCCCCCAGUAGCGGCGAGCGAACGGGGAACAGCCCAGAGCCUGAAUCAGCUUGUGUGUCAGUGGAACGGUCUGGAAAGGCCGGCGAUACAGGGUGACAGCCCCGUACACGAAGGCACACAGGCUGUGAGCUCGAUGAGUAGGGCGGGACACGUGAUAUCCUGUCUGAAGAUGGGGGGACCAUCCUCCAAGGCUAAAUACUCCUGACUGACCGAUAGUGAACCAGUACCGUGAGGGAAAGGCGAAAAGAACCCCGGCGAGGGGAGUGAAACAGAACCUGAAACCGUGUACGUACAAGCAGUGGGAGCCUUCGUAAGAGGGUGACUGCGUACCUUUUGUAUAAUGGGUCAGCGACUUAUAUUCUGUAGCAAGGUUAACCGUAUAGGGGAGC
rnacentral:rRNA from 1 species